UAGUAGCUCAGUAGGAUAGAGCAACGGCCUUCUAAGCCGUGGGUCGGGAGUUCGAAUCUCUCCUA
rnacentral:tRNA from 1 species